CCUGGCUCAGGACGAACGCUGGCGGCGCGCCUAACACAUGCAAGUCGAACGAGCGAGAGAGAGCUUGCUUUCUCGAGCGAGUGGCGAACGGGUGAGUAACGCGUGAGGAACCUGCCUCAAAGAGGGGGACAACAGUUGGAAACGACUGCUAAUACCGCAUAAGCCCACGGGUCGGCAUCGACCAGAGGGAAAAGGAGCAAUCCGCUUUGAGAUGGCCUCGCGUCCGAUUAGCUGGUUGGUGAGGUAACGGCCCACCAAGGCAACGAUCGGUAGCCGGACUGAGAGGUUGAACGGCCACAUUGGGACUGAGACACGGCCCAGACUCCUACGGGAGGCAGCAGUGGGGAAUAUUGCACAAUGGGGGAAACCCUGAUGCAGCGACGCCGCGUGGAGGAAGAAGGUCUUCGGAUUGUAAACUCCUGUUGUUGAGGAAGAUAAUGACGGUACUCAACAAGGAAGUGACGGCUAACUACGUGCCAGCAGCCGCGGUAAAACGUAGGUCACAAGCGUUGUCCGGAAUUACUGGGUGUAAAGGGAGCGCAGGCGGGAAGACAAGUUGGAAAGUGAAUCUAUGGGCUCAACCCAUAAACUGCUUUCAAAACUGUUUUUCUUGAGUAGUGCAGAGGUAGGCGGAAUUCCCGGUGUAGCGGUGGAAUGCGUAGAUAUCGGGAAGAACACCAGUGGCGAAGGCGGCCUACUGGGCACCAACUGACGCUGAGGCUCGAAAGUGUGGGUAGCAAACAGGAUUAGAUACCCUGGUAGUCCACACCGUAAACGAUGAUUACUAGGUGUUGGAGGAUUGACCCCUUCAGUGCCGCAGUUAACACAAUAAGUAAUCCACCUGGGGAGUACGACCGCAAGGUUGAAACUCAAAGGAAUUGACGGGGGCCCGCACAAGCAGUGGAGUAUGUGGUUUAAUUCGACGCAACGCGAAGAACCUUACCAAGUCUUGACAUCCCUUGACGAACAUAGAAAUAUGUUUUCUCUUCGGAGCAAGGAGACAGGUGGUGCAUGGUUGUCGUCAGCUCGUGUCGUGAGAUGUUGGGUUAAGUCCCGCAACGAGCGCAACCCUUACUGUCAGUUACUACGCAAGAGGACUCUGGCAGGACUGCCGUUGACAAAACGGAGGAAGGUGGGGAUGACGUCAAAUCAUCAUGCCCUUUAUGACUUGGGCUACACACGUACUACAAUGGCGUUAAACAAAGAGAAGCAAGACCGCGAGGUGGAGCAAAACUCAGAAACAACGUCCCAGUUCGGACUGCAGGCUGCAACUCGCCUGCACGAAGUCGGAAUUGCUAGUAAUCGUGGAUCAGCAUGCCACGGUGAAUACGUUCCCGGGCCUUGUACACACCGC
rnacentral:rRNA from 1 species